CAUUACCGCUACGUAAAUUCCUCCUGUUAUGGCAUGUUUUUCUGCUCGUUAACAUUAAUAAUCAAAAUGGUGAAGGCGUGUGUGGCGGUUGGUUGCAAUAACAGAGAGGAUAGACGGAGAGACUUGAAGUUCUACCGUAUUCCAAGAGACCCGGAGAGGAGAGCGAGAUGGACUGCUGCAAUUCGACGAGAAAACUGGGCUCCAAACGAUUACCACAGAUUAUGUAGUAGUCAUUUUAUAUAUGGUAAGAUGCAUUUAAUAUAUAUUUAGAGGGUUUUGGGCUGACAACCACAAUUAAGAUCAUUACGAGGCUAAUCGCCGACAACAUACAGUUUCAAAUUCAAGAUGCUUAUUUCUUCCACCAUCAUUACAUUUUGAAUAAUAUUUAGCUGGUACCAAGUGAAAGAAGCUGGCCUCGUCUACGGAUCAUCAGUUAAACUGGUGUGUCCAAACCUUUUGCAAAGGGGGCCAGAUUUGGUGUGGUAAAAAUGCGGGGGGCUACCUUGGCUGAUUUACAUAGAACAAUAUAUUUAAACAAAUGUUAGCAAGCCCUCCUGUGUGUCACAUUUGCUUUAUUAUUUUUUUUAAUUCAUAAUUUCAACAGUCUCGUCUUUGUGGCGUUCUCUUUCGACACUCGGGCUCUUGCGAAAUACUGCUGCUGUGAAAUUAAAUUAGCUUCAAGUUGCUGUAAUUUCUCGCUGCGUAUCUUCCCUGUAAUGUUGUCGUACAUGUCAGCAUGUCUUGUUCAGUAAUAUUAUUAUUGCGUCACAUCGAACUCUUUGAACACAGCGACUGUCUCUUUGCAAAUGAGGCAGACACAGUUGUUGCGUGUUUUCUUGAAGAAAUAGUCCAAUAUCCACCUAACCUUGAAGCGUCGGCCAUCGCAGUCAACUUUUUUUUAAUUGAUUGUCGCCAUUUUAGAAAAUUGGAAGUAAAGGGUCACACGGGGUAAUGUUGCUUAGAGGGAAGAGUUUUCAGGGAAGGAGCAUAUAUGUGGCUGACCCCUAUGUUGUUGCAACAUGGUGAAAGCCUACAGGAUGUGACCCACACAUGCAUUUGCCUGUAAGGCUGAGUAGUAACUACUACAACUUGGAGCUUUGGUUCAUUUUCAAAGAACAACCAAAUAAUAACAAAAUAAAUGACCCAAAUUCCGAUUAUUUGUGGGGAAAAAAACAGAUGCAAUCACGAGAUCAGAGAACUAUUGUUAUCACUAACGAAAUUCAGUAUCCAUUCAUAUUGGCAUAGCGUUUCCAUGAUGAUCCAGAAUAGCCUUGCUUGGUUUUGAAGGUAUGUUCCAGUCGAUCUUUUUAUGAUGCCCCUUCAAAUUAAAGCAGAAUUGCACUCCAAAUGAUUCAUCCAAUCAUUUGAGGCAAAAUUUUUAAAUGCCACUCUAAAAUGGCGAUUGUUUUGUUUAACGGCCGUUGGUUCGGUGUCAACAUUGGUAGGGACGAAUAUAAUGCAAAUAAGGUUGCUCAAAAGUUGGUGGGGACAACUUUAGCAUCCUGAAAAGUUGGUUGUGUUAUGUCCCUAUCGUCCCUAUGCAAACCUUCGCCCUUGUUUUAUUUGCAUGAAUCAUUUAAACCUGACUGGUUGGUGUAUGCAUGGAAACACUUUUGUGAUCGUUUAACUACUGUAUUUAAUAUAAACCUAUACUUUCAAUUGUGGAAAACUUUGACAGUCAAUCAACAGGGGGACAUGGAAAGAGAGGAUUGGAAGUGAAAUAGAGGUAUUUGUAAAAGUGUGUAUAUUCAUUGAUUCAAAACUCGAAGGAAGUGACUCGGUUAAAUUCUUACUAUACAUUAGGGUUUUCCAGAACAGCCAUAGGGGAAGGACUGUGGCAUCUUCAUGUUGAUGGUAGGUGAGUUUAACAGUCUAUUUUUUUCCUCUGUGAUAUUUGUAUUCAUUUAUCCAUUUGUAGUAUGCUCUUUACUCUUUUCUGGAUGCUCUUUUUGAGUUUAACCAUUGUAAGUUGAAGUUCACCGAAUCAUUCAAAUUGGGCCACAAAAUAUCCUUGUCGUUAUUCUUUAUUUACACUUGUUUUUAAUUUUUGUUAGACUGAUAUGCCAACUCUCAGGAAGUGGUGGUGUAUAUUGCUAGCGGACAAUUCCAAACUUGGGUGCAUGCCACAGGAAAGAGUUUGCCCAUUGGACAGAUAAGGCUAAAGCAUCACUCCAGGGUGAAGUGACACCAGUCUAUCAGUUGAAGAAGUGAAAUUUGGAUAUAAUUGCUGAGGAAGAGGUGCAACCACAGCUCCUUCAAGUUAGUGGUGGCCCACUGCAAGAAGAUGUGGCAGGAAAAAAGUGAACAGUUUUGGUAAAAGGAUUGUGCAAGACAGCACAAAAGCCUCGGACAGGGUUAGGGGGAAAAAAAUCAAUGCAGUAGGAGUUCCCAAGCAUUCUGCCGAUGGAAGAGGAUGAGCUCGGACGACAAUGUCUUGGAGCCAUUCAAGUUCUGUUUCAACCAUCUGGAAGACGAAUUAACCUUUUCUGAGGAGAUUGUUGACUAAAGAAAAUAUCUGGUAUUCUCUCAGUAAUAAUAAA